ensembl:snoRNA
GGUGCCCUGCAGGUGCUGGCCGGGCACCACAGACACGGCUGCCUGGCCGCAUCGUGGCGCAGGGCAGAGAAAGUGGCUAUUUCUACGCUCAGCGCCCAGACCCGUGGGCGCUAAGAAUGGUUUGUAGCCUCACAUUC